rnacentral:rRNA from 1 species
UACAGAGACUGCAAGCGUUAUUCGGAUUCACUGGGCGUAAAGGGUGCGCAGGCGGCCAAGUGUGUGAGGCGUGAAAGCCUGGGGCUUAACUCCAGAAUUGCACCUCAAACUACAUGGCUAGAGCAUUGGAGAGGGUAGCAGAAUUCACGGUGUAGCAGUGAAAUGCGUAGAUAUCGUGAGGAAUACCAGAGGCGAAGGCGGCUACCUGGACAAUUGCUGACGCUCAGGCACGGAAAGCGUGGGGAGCAAACAGG